AUUGAACGCUGGCGGCAGGCCUAACACAUGCAAGUCGAGCGGAUGAGAAGAGCUUGCUCUUCGAUUCAGCGGCGGACGGGUGAGUAAUGCCUAGGAAUCUGCCUGGUAGUGGGGGACAACGUUUCGAAAGGAACGCUAAUACCGCAUACGUCCUACGGGAGAAAGCAGGGGACCUUCGGGCCUUGCGCUAUCAGAUGAGCCUAGGUCGGAUUAGCUAGUUGGUGAGGUAAUGGCUCACCAAGGCGACGAUCCGUAACUGGUCUGAGAGGAUGAUCAGUCACACUGGAACUGAGACACGGUCCAGACUCCUACGGGAGGCAGCAGUGGGGAAUAUCGGACAAUGGGCGAAAGCCUGAUCCAGCCAUGCCGCGUGUGUGAAGAAGGUCUUCGGAUUGUAAAGCACUUUAAGUUGGGAGGAAGGGCAGUAAGCUAAUACCUUGCUGUUUUGACGUUACCGACAGAAUAAGCACCGGCUAACUCUGUGCCAGCCGCCGCAGUAAGAC
rnacentral:rRNA from 1 species